UCUGGGCAGAGGUCUCUGAUUUGGUCCUGCUCCCGUGGAGUUAGCUCCCUCAGGCCUGUUCAGGCCUGUUUCCAUAGAUGUUCCUGGCUUGGGCCCACUCCCUCGGAGGUCCCUGGCUUGGGCUUACUCCUGCAGAGGUCCAAGACUGGACUCGAAUUUGGACCCACAGAGGUCUCAGGCUCCAGCCUACUCCCUCAGCAGUUGCUUCCUUGUACCUGCUCCUGUGAAGUUUGCUGCUUCAGGCCUGCUCCAGCGGAGAUCACUGGUUCAGGCCUGUUUCCGUAGAUGUUCCUGGCCUGGGCCCACUCCCCUGGAGGUUUUCAGUGUAAUCCAUCCAGAGAGCAGCUUUCUGCAGCAAUGCACUGGUGACUACCUCCCUAUGGGACAGCUCACAAGCUCUUGGGCUCACCUAAAGACCUUCAUACCUGGCAUCCGCUGUGCACAUAAGCCAUAGAAAAGACCCCUCAGCCACAAUGUGAAACCACACAGUUGGUGCCUAAUUAGUUUUGCUGUUGUUUUGCCUUGUUUCCUGCCCACUGUUUGAGCAGUUGAUUGUAUGUGCUUUGCUACUGUAUUUUCUUUAAGAUUUGAGUUAAAAGAUUCUGUUGCUUCACAUGUAA